CUUCUCCUAUACGCUCUCUCCGUCAUCUUGUUGCAAUCAAACAACAGGAUGGGGCCCCUUCCUUGACUACAGAUAGCCUCGGGAGCUUUUCCUUCUGCUGCCGCAUGAGACUGAGGACAUGCCAAUCAUCGAGAGGUGAUGGACUCUAUUUGGUGGCCUAUAAAAAGCGUUCCAAACAAGUUACCCACAGGAAGAAAAUACAAUAUCACAAGGGAGGAAUCCCGUUCCCGGGAGUGACUAAUGGACUAUGGCGGCAAUGAUGAAAUGUCCAAGAAUUCCGAAAUGAGUAGCCAUAUAAAGUUGAACCUGCUGGGGAGGCCCUCAGGAAUCCUAGACCACGCGGAGGAGAACCUAGGCAGUCUGCAAUGACUGCCGGCCAUGUAUGUGCACCAUCUUGGGAGGAAGUCCUUCAGCCCCAGGCCAGGUUCCAGGAGAUGCAUCCCGGCUGCCGCCUUGACAACCACGUCAGGAGAGGCCCUACCCAGGACCAGACACCUACCCCUGCUCCUGGAUUUCUGACCUCAGCAACUGGAAGGUAAACAGCCUGGUUUGAGCCACUCAGA